UCGACUCUAUUUUAGUUCAUUUACUCCCUCUGUAUCUAGCGUCUUUGCUUAUUUAGGAAAAAUCCGUGUAGAUGAUUUUAUUUUUGUGUGUUCGGAUAAUGAAUGUUUUAAGCAUGACUAUGAUUCUACUUCAGUUAAGUUAAGUUAUUUUUCUUUUGCUACCUGUCAUGCUGAAAUUUUCUUGAAAUCCUAUUCUUUGUUCCUUUCAUUUAUCAUGUGGAUGAGUAUAAAUGUUAUCAUGACUUAGAAUAUUUACUUUGAUAGGUUGUUUAACUUUAUUCAUCCUUUUAAUCACAUGUAUGAAGGUUUAAUGAAAAUGUUACUGUCUCGGGUCAUAUUUCUAUGUGUUACUGUGCUGAUUUAUAUAUUUUCAUAGGGUAGAAGUAUUUAGAUCUUUGUUCAAAGCUUUUAAGUGAUGAUACUUUCCUUAUAAAACAUGUACAUAAUCUACUGAUUUGUUUUGAACUUAUAUUUUACAUGGUUAAUCUUAUUCGUCGAGCAGGUACUAAUCUUUUUCUUUUAUUUUUAUCUUUGCAUGACAUCUCGUAUAUGAGUCCGGGUGACUCGUCGUCUUCUCCCACAUUCGGUGUUGGGCCAAGGCCCAACGAAACAUCACUCCUCCCUCUAUCCAGAUCUGUCCGCAACAAUACAUAAAAGAAAAUCUGGGUCGAAGCCCAACAGUGAACAGCCGCAACAGACCACAUCAGUUUUCUUUGGAAAAUGGGCUGAGCCCAUUUACAUCAUACCUACUCCUCUAUUUUUAUUUUUGUAUGCAUUUAAUGUGUAUUGUAUGACUAACAUUUUUCUUGUUUGUUAAUUUAGGUAAACUUUAGUGACAUUAAGGGCUUUAGUUUAGUAAUGGGUAGUUAAUUCCACAAAUCACAUUCACUUCUAUUUUUUAAACUAUUUAUGGUAUCUAUAAUAUUUAUUUGAAUAAUUGAUUUUCAAAUAGUAUGCCUAUAUAUUUUUGGGUUAAAAGAAUCAUUUCUCAUUAUUACCAUCUUAGGAAUUUCAAAAUGUCACUAACACACAAAAUAUGAAACCAAUUGUAUUUUAUAAACAUUUUUAAGAUUUACCCAAUUAUACAUAUUUUAGCCGAAAAAAAUAAAUAAAAAGAAAUUCAUGGCCUUUUUCAUCAAAUUUAAGAACAUAAGUCCAGGCAUUUCUAUACCAUCAUAUUCAUAUAAUAUCGUUUUUACUUAAAGAUCACUUUUGUCAAAUUAUCGUUUAAAAGGCUAUUAUUCAAAGGCAAAUCAUCCUAUUUUCUACAAAUCUUAUUUUGUGAAUAACAUUACUAUUUAAGGCCUUAGCAAUACUUUCAAGAUAUUUUCUUAAAAUAUUUAAAAUACUAUAUUUACACUUAAGCCUAACAAAUUAUAAGUCCGGUCGGUUAACCAUUGUUAAUGGGUCUUAAAGGAUGCCUAAUACCUUCCCUUUAGACUAAUUGAACCCUUACCUAGAAUUUUAAGUUUCGCAGACCUUAAACAGAGCUAACUUUAAACUUUAGGUGUCCUAAUUCACCAUAAAUAAUUAGGUGGCGACUCCUUAAAACAAAUAAACAAAAAAUAGGAAUCUCCAAUAUGUUGUACCUCUACUUUAACCCGGUUAAAAUGGGGUAUGACAGCUUGGCGACUCUGCUGGGGAUUACUUAGGUUCUAACCAUAACGGACUUAGUUUAAAUAGGCUUUGUGUGCUUAUUUAAUUACUUUAUUUGUUGUUAACUGUUUUUACACGCUAUUAAUUGUUUAUUUGAUAUAAAUUGUUUAAGUGUUACUGCUUUGAUAAAUUGUCAUUCCGUUCAUACUUCUUCCACUUCUGGAAAGCUCACACUAUCACACGUACACGCGAGGUGUCUUAGCGCACCCGCAAAUUUCUUCGUAGAAUCCAAAUUUUAGGAGAGUUGGCGUAUGCGCGGGGUGUCCGAAUAACGGUGACCGCGUAGCCUUCUCACUCGAGUUGUCCGCUCGGGAACCUUGCGUCCAGUUGUUACACUCCAUAAUAAUCUGUGCUACUUGUAUUAAAACAAGAAAAAAUGAGUUAAGAAGGUUCAAGGAAAGUUAAUCGAGUUAGUAAGAAUAUCGUUAUAUAUACAUGGUUUCCUUAAGUAUCCCAAGGCGACACGGUUACCUAAAGGGUGUGGAAUCGCGCUAUGAGUAUGUAUAUGAAGUAAUGCGAGUGACCUUUUAAAGUAUUUGAGAUUAUUAGUAAUGAUAUAGAGGGUGGACAAAAGAUAUGAAUAUACUUUUGCGAUUGGAGUUUCGUCAAAGCUUUGUGAGUUCUCUAGUUAUGUUUAAGGUUAUUGUGAGUCUCUGGACCCUUCAAGAUGUGUAUAUGGAUUUUUUUAUUGAUGUAUAUAAGUGUGAAUAUGUAUGCAUAAGAGGUUACAUAAGGUUGGAAGAGGAUUAGAAGUUAAACGAAAUGAAUCGGAACAACUUCAGUAAAAUUUCGGACCCGAUUUUAGUCUAUAUUGUAGGAGGCAUAUCUCCUUGAAUAUGAGGAGUUUUAAGGUGUUUCAAAAGCCUAAAAUGAAGUUCAUCGAGUCUAGUUUAUAAUGCAACAAACCGCUCGUCAAAAUGAUAUCGGGAUAAGGAGAUAUGGACGAUGCAAGUUGGGCUGGCAGGGCAGCAAGUUUGGACCCGACCCAAACACUCACAUUUCGGCCCAUGAGGCCCAUUAAACUCAAUAGAUAAGUCACCACUUUGCCCUAUAUCAUUUCACACGACCUAAAACAGAUCCAAAACCCUUAUUUUCUCUCCCAAACCCCCUUUCUAAUUGAGCCAUCAUAUAAGCUAAAUCCUAGACCCUUGACAUGAUAUUAGUUAAAGAGAAGUUGUAGCUUAAGUUUUUUUUUGUGUUGUUAAGCAAGCAGCUGGAAAGAGGAACAAGAUUCUUGAAGAUUCUGAUUGCUAAAGGAAACGUUGAUAUACAAGCUAGAGAGAGAGAGAGCAUAAGCCAUGGCAUUCGGCCAUGGCUAGCAAAAUUGGAGCUCAAAUUUGUUGAUCCAAAAAUCAGAUUUUCUAGGUAUUUCAGCCCUUAGGAAGGUGAUAAUAACGUGGAGAAUUCAUUUGGAGCAACAAGAACAAGUAUUAGUGCAUUUCACAAAUUCUAGCUAAGUGGAAAAAGCCAACUUGUUAAGGUAAGAGUUGAUCAUUUUUCUAUGUGUUUGAUGAUGAAGUUGGACGUGUGGGGAAUAUGCAAAUGUAAAUUGUAUGUGUGAAAUUAUGUAUCUUGAUGUUGAAGCAUAGUUGUAACUUGGUAACAUGAAUUGCACGAAUGUUGGAAUGUUGUUGAAAUGUUGUUGAAUGCCGUAGGGGCUGUUUUUAAUUGAAAUUUGAUGGACUGAUUUGAAUUAAUAUUUUGGUUGUUGUAAUCAUAGAUUAUGUGAUGAGAAUGAAGGAAUUUAAUGGUUAGAGUUGGAGUUAAAAUUGUUGUGGGUUGUUGUAAGGAUUAUAGAGAUAAUAAUGUGAUUUACUUGCAUAUGGAUAGAUGAUGUGGUGUCGUGUGGCUGCUGUUGUAUUUCCCUGAAAUUUGCUGAAAAGAUGGCAUGAAAUAAGUCGUAAGAAGUGUAUAUGGGCUGCUUGGUGUGUUGUAAGUGUUCGUUAGAAUUUCGGGCAUCGUUAUGUUAUAAUUUAGGGGCUGUUUUCGGCCCAAUUUGGAGAAAUUGUUGGAUCGUUGGAAAUAUUAUGUGAAUUGUUUAGAAUGUUCUUGAAUGUUGUUAGUAUGGGUUUGGGUUAGUAUUUGAAUGUAUAGGCGUUGAUGUUGGCUUGAAGGUAAGCCGUUGAAUUGAAUAUUUGGAAAGUUGUCGAAUGAUGAAAAAGAGAGUAUUAAUGUAAUAUUGUCUUUCGGAUUGGUUAUUGGAGUUGCUAGGUUGGUUAUUGUGGUUGUUGUGGUUGAUUUUGAGCGAGUUAAAUUCUCGGGAUGGCCUAUUUACAGGGGAAGUGCUGCCGAAUUUUCUGUAGAAUUUAAUGUUAGUUUGGAAUGAAUGGCUUAAGUGCCUAUGUUUAAUAUUGGAUAUUCGUUGGCAUAUUUGUAGACCUUGGGGAGCCCGAGGCGUAGAUUGGAAUUUACUUUAGAUUGGCUAUCUUGGAGUGCGUACGAGGUAUGUAAAGCGCAACCCUUCUUUCUUUUGGCAUGCCUUAGUUUUCAAUAGGCUAUAUCACGAGCCUCGAGGAAAUUCCAAAUUCGAAAUCCGAGCACGUUAUGAUCCUUAUAUAUAUUUCUUGGCAUUCUUAUGUAUGUUGUGAUGAAGUAUGAACAAUUAUGUCUUCGAAAGCAUUGAUUUCCAAACUUUGUACAAAAAGUUGUUUUAAAGAAUUCCGUAACUACGAAAUGCCAUAUCUUUUGCAUAAAGGCUCGGAUUGCUCCAAUAUUUUCAUAAGAGUUUGCAUGAUGUAUAAUGAGUAUGUUUUCCAUGAGCGGGCCCGAUUCGGGUCGAUACCCGUUCGUGGGUCCCGCGACUUUUCUUUAUGUAAUUCGGACGACUUUUGAAAGAAUUUGGUAUGAUUAUCAUUUCGAAUUUCAAAUAUGAUCAUUUUACUUAUGUUUGAAUUUAUGAUAAUGAUUUUAUGCAUAUGACUACUCUAUUAACUACUAAACAAAAAUUGUUUUAAAUAAUUCAUUAAGUCUUAUAAAUUGUUUUGGCCCUCGGAACGACUUCAGAAAGGUAUGCUUCUGUAAUUCAUUAUGACAUCCGAAACUCACUUAUUAUGAUCCCGUCUGACUUCAUUGAAUUGGUUUGCCAUUGAUAUGCCUCAUCGAGUCUCUGAAAAUAUUUAUGAUAUUUUAACUGCAUUUAGUUUCUCACUACUCUAUUCGUGGAUGCCCCAAUGUUUCCCACACUGAGCCCGGGCCAGGAUAUGUUGUCAAGCGUAAUCCUCUGCAUUGUUCGCCGUGCCUCGAUGUGAGGGGGCAGGUAUACGUGUACAUGGGUUUGUGGAGUAUGCUGUGCCAUGUACACAUGUUCUGAUAUGAUUUGCCAUGGCCAUCUGAUAUGAUAUACUAUGUUACGGGGUUAUGCCCCUAUUCUGAUUCUUCUGUGUUGUGGCACCAGCGUCGGGAGGGUGGCCACGUUCUGUUUGCCGAGUCCCUUGGCAGGGGCCGGAUUUGAUAUGACAUAUGUUUCUGUACACACUCCGCAUGUUUUGAAGAUAUGUAUUUGAUACUUUGGAUUUUCUACUCACUUUUUCUGUACGUUCUGUACCAGUUAUGAUUUUGGUUCUGUAAUUCAGGCUUUACAUAUUCAGUACAUAUUUCGUACUGACCCCCUUUCUUCGGGGGCUGCGUUUUCAUGCCGCGCAGGUACCGACGACAGGUUUGCUGAUCCGUCCGUCUAGGAUAUCUUUUCUGCCAUUUGGAGCGCUAUUUUAUUCAGAGCCCAUCUUUUGGUAUGGAUAUGCAUUGGAGUACAACAAAUGACGAAGAUCAAUGACAUCACCAAACGGAGCUGAAAUUUAGACAUAGAAAAUUGUAUUUACUUUGCUCAGAUUAGGAAACACUUUAUGUUGUAUUCAUUUGACAUGUAAUAAAUAUUACACUACUUUUGAACUUUAUUUUGGGGAAAUAGAAUUUGUUUAAUUAAUCAAAGCAACUGGAUGACG